GUGAUAUUUGAAAAGUUAGCAAAGAGCUUUUGGAAGAGUGCAACAUAAAAACAACAACAACAAAACAUGUACUUAAGAUUGCGUAAUCAGUGAUUAAAAAAGACUUAAAAUACUCUUCGGGGAACAAUUCGCGAAAAUUCAGCUGCAGCGUCAUCUGCUGGACAUGCCGCGACACUGCAGGUCCCUGCGGCGAAGAAGAUGGGGUUGCAGUUGAAAGCCAGGCUUUUUGCCCAGGAAAGGCUCUGGCAGCAAGGCACAGAGGCUUGCCAUGAAUUUGUCAAGUGGAUGAAAUAAGGUACUGUCCUGUCAUUGUUUCUCUUUGAUCUCAAGAGAUU